GCGCGCGCAGGCGGUUUCUUAAGUCUGAUGUGAAAGCCCACGGCUCAUCCGUGGAGGGUCAUUGGAAACUGGGGAACUUGAGUGCAGAAGAGAAAAGCGGAAUUCCACGUGUAGCGGUGAAAUGCGUAGAGAUGUGGAGGAACACCAGUGGCGAAGGCGGCUUUUUGGUCUGUAACUGACGCUGAGGCGCGAAAGCGUGGGGAGCAAACAGGAUUAGAUACCCUGGUAGUCCACGCCGUAAACGAUGAGUGCUAAGUGUUAGAGGGUUUCCGCCCUUUAGUGCUGCAGCUAACGCAUUAAGCACUCCGCCUGGGGAGUACGGUCGCACGACUGAAACUCACAGGAAUUGACGGGGGCCCGCACAAGCGGUGGAGCAUGCGGUUUAAUUCGAAGCAACGCGAAGAACCUUACC
rnacentral:rRNA from 2 species